rnacentral:ncRNA from 1 species
AAUGUAAUCGGUAUCCAUCUAGAAGGCCCGGAGUGGGUAUUAAUGCAAUGUGAUUUCUGCCCAGUGCUCUGAAUGUCAAUGUGAAGAAAUUCAGUGAACCCUGGGUAAACAGCAGAAGGCACUAUGACUCUUGACGUAGCCAAAUGCCUCGUCAUCUCAUUAGUGACACACAUCAAUAGACCA